GGGCCCGCACAAGCGGUGGAGCAUGUGGUUUAAUUCGAUGAUACGCGAGGAACCUUACCAGGGCUUAAAUGUAAGUUGCAUAAGCUAGAGAUAGCUUUUUUCUUCGGACUACUUACAAGGUGCUGCAUGGUUGUCGUCAGCUCGUGCUGUGAAGUGUCGGGUUAAGUCCCAUAACGAGCGCAACCCCUAUUUCUAGUUGCCAGCGGUUCGGCCGGGGACUCUAGAGAAACUGCCAGCGUAAGCUGUGAGGAAGGUGGGGGAUGACGUCAAAUCAUCACGGCCCUUACGUCCUGGGCUACACACGUGCUACAAUGGUAGGGACAGAGAGUUGCCAACCCGCGAGGGUGAGCU
rnacentral:rRNA from 1 species